rnacentral:lncRNA from 1 species
ACUAGUUCUACAUAAUGUAAGCAUAUUUCUGUCAAAAAUGUUAAUUGUAACCUAGGAUAGUUGGGUCUUUCAGAUGUGUUGAAGACCUUUGGGACAAUUUUUUUUUUUUUUGAUUGGCAAACACACAAAAAACAUAUAUUAGAAAAGGGCCCCUUGAGGCAGACCUAAAAGCAUACAAGGAGUAUACAAGAGACGCCCAAGGGCAUAAAAGAAGCGGAAAUACAAUACCAGCCCUCACCUAGCACCUAGCCAAUAAAAAAAACUGAGUAAAGAGAGAGAACCAUCAUUUACAACCGACUUAGUCCAUAACCAAAGAUUACAAACAAAAAUUUUUUUCAACCUAUGCAUCGAAAGCUCCUCAUUAUCAAAAGCAAUCCUAUUUCUUUCCUUCCAAACCACCCAAAAAAUACACAAAGGGGCUGCCUUCCACACCUUUCUACGCUUUUUGCCCAAUUUAAAGCCACCCCAACUACUAAGGGUAUCUCUAACCGAAUAAGGCAGGACCCAAAUAACACCAAAAAGAGCAAACAAUAACUCUCAUAAUACUCUUGCCCUGGAGCACUGAAUAAGAAUAUAAUCAAUAGACUUUUCUUCCUCACAACAAAGAAAGCAUUUGUUAGCUAAAUACCGACCCCUCUUUUUGAGUUGAUCCAAAGUUAGCACCUUACCCCAAAAAGUUUCCCAAGCAAAGAAACACACUUUAGUAGGCACACAAGGAUUCCAAAUAAUGUUGAUAGGGAACUGAACAACUCUUCUUGAAACUAAAAUACUAUAAAGAGAUUUAGCUGAGAAGAUCUCAUCCUUUGUCUCUUUCCACAACAUUCUAUCUUCCAUAAGAGGAUUAAGCCUCCUACCCCGGAUUGUCAAAAGUAAUCUCUCCACCUCCUCCACCUCCCAGUCAUUAAAGGGCCUAGAGAAGCUAGGACUCCAAACCCCUUCUCCUCCCGAAUGAUCCCACAUCUCCUCUAUCCAAGCCUCUUUAUAUGUUGCAAAGGCAUACAAAGACCUUUGGGACAAUUGAAUCAUAACUCGGUGGCUUAGCAAUGAAGAACAUCACAAAAUCCAAGUGUUGCACCCAAUUGUUAGGAAGUUGUUCCCUGGCAUACAGGGCAGAAAGCACCGGAGCUGUAACAGGCA